rnacentral:rRNA from 1 species
UACGUAGGGUGCGAGCGUUAAUCGGAAUUACUGGGCGUAAAGCGUGCGCAGGCGGUCCGCAAAGUCUGAUGUGAAAUCCCCAGGCUCAACCUGGGAACUGCGUCUGAUACUGGUUGGCUUGAAUCCGGGAGAGGGAUGCAGAAUUCCAGGUGUAGCGGUGAAAUGCGUAGAUAUCUGGAGGAAUACCGGUGGCGAAGGCGGCAUCCUGGACCGGCAUUGACGCUGAGGAGCGAAAGCUAGGGGAGCAAACGGG